rnacentral:tRNA from 1 species
CCUUUGGUAGCUCAGUUGGUAGAGCGGAGGACUGUAGAUCCUUAGGUCGCUGGUUCAAAUCCUGCUCGAAGAA